UACGUAGGGUGCAAGCGUUGUCCGGAAUUAUUGGGCGUAAAGAGCUCGUAGGCGGCCUGUCACGUCGGCUGUGAAAACCCGAGGCUCAACCUCGGGCCUGCAGUCGAUACGGGCAAACUAGAGUACUGCAGGGGAGACUGGAAUUCCUGGUGUAGCGGUGAAAUGCGCAGAUAUCAGGAGGAACACCGGUGGCGAAGGCGGGUCUCUGGGCAGUAACUGACGCUGAGGAGCGAAAGCGUGGGGAGCGAACAGG
rnacentral:rRNA from 1 species